rnacentral:misc_RNA from 1 species
CAACCCUCAAGCCCCCAGGGGCUUGGUGUUGGGGAUCGGCCGCGCGGCGCUCCGGCGCCUCGGGGCCGGCCCCGAAAUCUAGUGGCGGUCUCGCUGUAGUCCUCCUCUGCGUAGUAGCACAACCUCGCACUGGAACUCGGCCUGGCCACGCCGUAAAACACCCCCAACUUCUGAAA